AACGAACGCUGGCGGCAUGCCUAACACAUGCAAGUCGAACGAGACCUUCGGGUCUAGUGGCGCACGGGUGCGUAACGCGUGGGAAUCUGCCCUUGGGUUCGGAAUAACAGUGAGAAAUUACUGCUAAUACCGGAUGAUGUCUUCGGACCAAAGAUUUAUCGCCCAGGGAUGAGCCCGCGUAGGAUUAGGUAGUUGGUGGGGUAAUGGCCUACCAAGCCGACGAUCCUUAGCUGGUCUGAGAGGAUGAUCAGCCACACUGGGACUGAGACACGGCCCAGACUCCUACGGGAGGCAGCAGUGGGGAAUAUUGGACAAUGGGCGAAAGCCUGAUCCAGCAAUGCCGCGUGAGUGAUGAAGGUCUUAGGGUUGUAAAGCUCUUUUACCAGGGAUGAUAAUGACAGUACCUGGAGAAUAAGCUCCGGCUAACUCCGUGCCAGCCGCCGCGGUAACAC
rnacentral:rRNA from 1 species